AUACGGAGGAUCCGAGCGUUAUCCGGAUUUAUUGGGUUUAAAGGGAGCGUAGGCGGACGCUUAAGUCAGUUGUGAAAGUUUGCGGCUCAACCGUAAAAUUGCAGUUGAUACUGGGUGUCUUGAGUACAGUAGAGGCAGGCGGGAUUCGUGGUGUAGCGGGGAAAUGCUUAGAUAUCACGAAGAACUCCGAUUGCGAAGGCAGCCUGCUUGACUGUAACAUGCGCUGAUGCUCGAAAGUGUUGGUAUCAAACAGGAUUAGAUACCCUUGUAGUCCACACAGUAAGCGAUUAAUACUCGCUGUUUACGAUAUACAGUAAGCUGCCAAGCGAAAGCAUUAAGUAUUCCACCUGGGGAGUACGCCGGCAACGGUGAAACUUAAAGGAAUUGACGGGG
rnacentral:rRNA from 1 species